rnacentral:rRNA from 1 species
AUUGAACGCUGGCGGCAGGCUUAACACAUGCAAGUCGAGCGGGGUGAUGGUGCUUGCACUAUCACUUAGCGGCGGACGGGUGAGUAAUGCUUAGGAAUCUGCCUAUUAGUGGGGGACAACAUUUCGAAAGGAAUGCUAAUACCGCAUACGUCCUACGGGAGAAAGCAGGGGGUCUUCGGACCUUGCGCUAAUAGAUGAGCCUAAGUCGGAUUAGCUAGUUGGUGGGGUAAAGGCCUACCAAGGCGACGAUCUGUAGCGGGUCUGAGAGGAUGAUCCGCCACACUGGGACUGAGACACGGCCCAGACUCCUACGGGAGGCAGCAGUGGGGAAUAUUGGACAAUGGGCGGAAGCCUGAUCCAGCCAUGCCGCGUGUGUGAAGAAGGCCUUAUGGUUGUAAAGCACUUUAAGCGAGGAGGAGGCUACCUAGAUUAAUACUCUAGGAUAGUGGACGUUACUCGCAGAAUAAGCACCGGCUAACUCUGUGCCAGCCGCCGCCGUAAAAC